GUCACCUACGGGACGCAGCAGUGGGGAAUAUUGGGCAAUGGGCGAAAGCCUGACCCAGCAACGCCGCGUGAAGGAAGAAGGCUUUCGGGUUGUAAACUUCUUUUGACAGGGAAGAGCAGAAGACGGUACCUGUCGAAUAAGCCACGGCUAACUACGUGCCAGCAGCCGCGGUAAUACGUAGGUGGCAAGCGUUGUCCGGAUUUACUGGGUGUAAAGGGCGUGUAGCCGGGCUGACAAGUCAGAUGUGAAAUCCGGGGGCGCCACCCCCGAGCUGCAUUUGAAACUGU
rnacentral:rRNA from 1 species